rnacentral:rRNA from 1 species
GAUGAACGCUGGCGGCGUGCCUAAUACAUGCAAGUCGAGCGAACAGAUGAGGAGCUUGCUCCUCUGACGUUAGCGGCGGACGGGUGAGUAACACGUGGAUAACCUACCUAUAAGACUGGGAUAACUUCGGGAAACCGGAGCUAAUACCGGAUAAUAUAUUGAACCGCAUGGUUCAAUAGUGAAAGACGGUUUUGCUGUCACUUAUAGAUGGAUCCGCGCCGCAUUAGCUAGUUGGUAAGGUAACGGCUUACCAAGGCAACGAUGCGUAGCCGACCUGAGAGGGUGGUCGGCCACACUGGAAGUGAGACACGGUCCAGACUCCUACGGGAGGCAGCAGUAGGGAAUCUUCCGCAAUGGGCGAAAGCCUGACGGAGCAACGCCGCGUGAGUGAUGAAGGUCUUCGGAUCGUAAAACUAUGUUAUUAGGGAAGAACAAAUGUGUAAGUAACUAGGCACGUCUUGACGGUACCUAAUCAGAAAGCCCCGGCUAACUACGUG